GAUGAACGCUGGCGGCGUGCCUAAUACAUGCAAGUCGAGCGAACAGACGAGGAGCUUGCUCCUCUGACGUUAGCGGCGGACGGGUGAGUAACACGUGGAUAACCUACCUAUAAGACUGGGAUAACUUCGGGAAACCGGGGCUAAUACCGGAUAAUAUAUUGAACCGCAUGGUUCAAUAGUGAAAGACGGUUUUGCUGUCACUUAUAGAUGGAUCCGCGCCGCAUUAGCUAGUUGGUAAGGUAACGGCUUACCAAGGCGACGAUGCGUAGCCGACCUGAGAGGGUGAUCGGCCACACUGGAACUGAGACACGGUCCAGACUCCUACGGGAGGCAGCAGUAGGGAAUCUUCCGCAAUGGGCGAAAGCCUGACGGAGCAACGCCGCGUGAGUGAUGAAGGUCUUCGGAUCGUAAAACUCUGUUAUUAGGGAAGAACAAAUGUGUAAGUAACUAUGCACGUCUUGACGGUACCUAAUCAGAAAGCCACGGCUAACUACGUG
rnacentral:rRNA from 1 species